GACGAACGCUGGCGGCGUGCUUAACACAUGCAAGUCGAACGGAAAGGCCCUGCUUUUGUGGGGUGCUCGAGUGGCGAACGGGUGAGUAACACGUGAGUAACCUGCCCUUGACGUUGGGAUAACUUCAGGAAACUGGGGCUAAUACCGGAUAGGAGCUCCUGCUGCAUGGUGGGGGUUGGAAAGUUUCGGCGGUUGGGGAUGGACUCGCGGCUUAUCAGCUUGUGGGUGGGGUAGUGGCUUACCAAGGCUUUGACGGGUAGCCGGCCUGAGAGGGUGACCGGCCACAUUGGGACUGAGAUACGGCCCAGACUCCUACGGGAGGCAGCAGUGGGGAAUAUUGCACAAUGGGCGGAAGCCUGAUGCAGCAACGCCGCGUGCGGGAUGACGGCCUUCGGGUUGUAAACCGCUUUCGCCUGUGACGAAGCGUGAGUGACGGUAAUGGGUAAAGAAGCACCGGCUAACUACGUG
rnacentral:rRNA from 1 species